ACAGGACGCGUACCGCUUCCGACCCAGGUAGAUGAGAUGAGUAUUCUAAGGCGCGUGAAAGAACUCUGGUUAAGGAACUCUGCAAACUAGUGAAGUAAGUUCGCGAUAAGGUGUGCCGCAGCAAUGCGGUCUCAGCAAAGAGUCCCUCCCGACUGUUUACCAAAAACACAGCACUUUGCCAACUCGUAAGAGGAAGUAUAAGGUGUGACGUUAAACCGGUGCUCGAAGGUUAAGAGGAUGCGUCAGUCGCAAGAUGAAGCGUUGAAUUGAAGCCCGAGUAAACGGCGGCCGUAACUAUAACGGUCCUAAGGUAGCGAAAUUCCUUGUCGGUUAAAUACCGACCUGCAUGAAUGGCGUAACGAGAUGGGAGCUGUCUCAACCAGAGAUUCAGUGAAAUUGUAGUGGAGGUGAAAAUUCCUCCUACCCGCGGCAAGACGGAAAGACCCCGUGGACCUUUACUACAACUUAGCACUGCUAACGGGAAUAUCAUGCGCAGGAUAGGUGGGAGGCUUUGAAGUAAGGGCUUUGGCUCUUAUGGAGCCAUCCUUGAGAUACCACCCUUGAUGUUUCUGUUAGCUAACUGGCCUGUGUUAUCCACAGGCAGGACAAUGCUUGGUGGGUAGUUUAAAU
rnacentral:rRNA from 1 species